ACAGGGCAUUGCCUCAGUAACGGCGAGUGAAGCGGCAAAAGCUCAAAUUUGAAAUCCUUCGGGAGUUGUAAUUUGUAGGUUGGGAGACCCCGCGGCUAGUGGCACCAAGUCCCUUGGAACAGGGCGCCUUAGAGGGUGAGAGCCCCGUAGGUACCACAAUACCGUCUUGUGUCUCCUCUCCAAAGAGUCGAGUUGUUUGGGAAUGCAGCUCAAAGUGGGUGGUAAAUUCCAUCUAAAGCUAAAUACCGGCGAGAGACCGAUAGCGAACAAGUACAGUGAUGGAAAGAUGAAAAGCACUUUGAAAAGAGAGUGAAACAGUACGUGAAAUUGUUGAAAGGGAAGGGCUUGCAAGCAGACACGGCCUUCGUGCCGGGCCAGCAUCGGUUGCUAGGGGUGGAUAAGGAACAAGGAAUGUAGCUCCUCGGAGUAUUAUAGCCUUGCGCGAUACACCCACUGGCGACCGAGGCCUGCGGUAUUCUUUACCUAGGAUGCUGGCGUAAUGGUUGCAAGCCGCCCGUCUUGAAAMMMCGGGACACAAA
rnacentral:rRNA from 1 species